rnacentral:rRNA from 1 species
GACGAACGCUGGCGGCGUGCUUAACACAUGCAAGUCGAACGGUGAAGCGCUUUCCUUUUUGGUUGGUGUGGAUGAGUGGCGAACGGGUGAGUAACACGUGAGUAACCUGCCCCCUUCUUCUGGAUAACCGCAUGAAAGUGUGGCUAAUACGGGAUAUUCUGCGCCUGCUGCAUGGUGGGUGUGGGAAAGAUUGUGCCUUUGGGUGUUUUCGGUUGGGGAUGGGCUCGCGGCCUAUCAGCUUGUUGGUGGGGUGAUGGCCUACCUAGGCGGUGACGGGUAGCCGGCCUGAGAGGGUGGACGGUCACACUGGGACUGAGACACGGCCCAGACUCCUACGGGAGGCAGCAGUGGGGAAUAUUGCACAAUGGGCGCAAGCCUGAUGCAGCGACGCCGCGUGAGGGAUGGAGGCCUUCGGGGUGUGAACCUCUUUCGCCAGUGAAGCAGGCCUGCUCCUUGUGGGUGGGUUGACGGUAGCUGGAUAAGAAGCGCCGGCUAACUACGUG